CUGCCGGGCAGCGACGGCGCCCCUAUCAAGCCCAAUUCGUUUGUUGCCCCAAGCGCCCAGCGCCUUGGCCGAGGUCGGUUUUCUGUGCCGAAUUCCUAACGGACGGCACUCCCUCGUCCACCAACGUCCCGUACUCCUCCCCUCGCCGCGGCUCCUCAAGGAGAUGCGGCGCGGGGAGGACAUCGAAGCCCCCGUCGUGUCUCGCCACCCGCAAGCGCCCCAGUUGGGAUCACGCCAGGGCUGUCGAACCACGACGUCGUGCUCGAUCUCUCUCGGAUGCGGAAAACCAAGCGGCAACGAGGCCACGGCCUCGGCUGCCCACCUAGAAGAGCGUCCAACGCUCCCUUCGGACGACUGCCGGCCGGGUCUUGGCCCGGGGCCACAGCGGCUCCCGGAUCAUGCCCGAUCGGCGUCGACGAGGAAUGCUACCUGGUUGAUCCUGCCAGUAGUCA
rnacentral:misc_RNA from 1 species